GACGAACGCUGGCGGCGUGCUUAACACAUGCAAGUCGAACGUAAAGGCCCCUUUGGGGGUACUCGAGUGGCGAACGGGUGAGUAACACGUGAGUAACCUGCCCUUGACUUCGGGAUAACUUCAGGAAACUGGGGCUAAUACCGGAUAGGAAUCCUUGCUGCAUGGUGGGGGUUGGAAAGCUUCGGCGGUUUUGGAUGGACUCGCGGCUUAUCAGCUUGUUGGUGGGGUAGUGGCUUACCAAGGCUUUGACGGGUAGCCGGCCUGAGAGGGCGACCGGCCACAUUGGGACUGAGAUACGGCCCAGACUCCUACGGGAGGCAGCAGUGGGGAAUAUUGCACAAUGGGCGGAAGCCUGAUGCAGCAACGCCGCGUGCGGGAUGACGGCCUUCGGGUUGGAAACCGCUUUCAGCAGGGGCGAAGCUUGUGGUGACGGUACCUGCAGAAGAAGCACCGGCUAACUACGUG
rnacentral:rRNA from 1 species